UACGUAGGGACCAAGCGUUGUUCGGAUUUACUGGGCGUAAAGGGCGCGUAGGCGGCAAUUCAAGUCAUCUGUGAAAUCUCCGGGCUUAACCUGGGAACUGCGUUUCUAACUGGCAGGCUUGAGUGUGGCAGAGGGGGGUGGAAUUCCACGUGUAGCAGUGAAAUGCGUAGAGAUGUGGAGGAACACCGAUGGCGAAGGCAGCCCCCUGGGCUAACACUGACGCUCAUGCACGAAAGCGUGGGGAGCAAACAGG
rnacentral:rRNA from 1 species